rnacentral:rRNA from 1 species
UACGGAGGGUGCAAGCGUUAUCCGGAUUCACUGGGUUUAAAGGGUGCGUGAGUGGGCAGUUAAGUCAGUGGUGAAAUCUCCGGGCUCAACCCGGAAACUGCCAUUGAUACUAUCUGUCUUGAAUAUCGUUGAGGUAAGCGGAAUAUGUCAUGUAGCGGUGAAAAUGCUUAGAUAUGACAUAGAACACCAAUUGCGAAGGCAGCUUGCUAACCGAAUAUUGACACUGAGGCACGAAAGCGUGGGGAUCAAACAGG